CGGCGGGCGCUCCGGCGGCGGGCACGGGCUGGGCCUGCUGUCAGAGGGUCCCGUCCGGAGGGAAGGGGUCGGUAGAGAUAGCGGGAACCGCGCCAGGGCUCCUCGAGGUCUGUCCCGUUCGGCCUCUCGCUGUAACACUGUGCUCCGAGGGCCCGGCUCCUCUGUACGCGUAGGGGAGCUGUGGUGUGCGGCUGUAGGAGCCUUUGGCUGCGGGGGAACGGCUGAGCUCUGAAUGCUUGGAAGAUAUCCUGUAAGGAAGCGAAGGGUGAGCAUCGAAACUUCAGCGUCUGCCGGGCCACCUGUUUGUGUCUGGAAGAGCUGGGCGAGGUGCGGGUACUGGAUGCCAGCGCCGACCUGUGUGUGUGCUUUGUGUUGGGUACAACCGGAGUGGAGGAGCGCGCAGGAGGGCUCCGAGGGCUGUCAGCAGCCCUGACAGCCGGGAACCGCCCACAGCUCAGACCAAGAGGGAGGAAAGCUCUCGUCCUGCUGCUUCCAUUGGUGUCGGCAGCCAGCCAUCUGCUCCCAGGCACCUGCAGGCAAAGUGGAAGUGACAGGAAUUCUGAGAUUGCUAGACCUGCAUGACUUCUGCAAACUGCUCAAUGUCUGGCAAAGUUGAAAGAACAAAAGUGAAAAUGUUUGACUUGAUGAAAACCUGAAAAAUGAGUGUACAAUACAAGCAUAGAUGGGAUUUCUCAAAGGUGGGAAAAGAAAACAAACACAGAGGGCCUCUCUCUGACACAGAAGGGAUCUUCAAAACACCAAAUGAAGUGUUGCAGUGAGCUAGGACAAUGCAGAACUGGCUGGUGACUGCAGGCAGCAGAAGCAGCCAUGAGAAAUGCUGAACAAUACUGAAAGAUCUGAUCCGUGAAAGCUGCCACUUGAUCUAUCCUUCUUUCUCUUUGCAUCCCACUAAAUCAUAUCAUAUGCAAGCUUCAUCACCAUGGGGGAGGCUUUGAAGGACUCCUGCUAUUCAGGGCAGUGUUGUAGCCCUGAACACCUGGAACACCUUACAGCAGCACCGUUGCUGAUGGGGAACAGCGUUCUGAUCUGUGCUACCUGAAUAUGUGCAUAUACUGUGUUCUGUGAGCCUACAGCCCUCCUGCCCAGCACUGUGAAGAAGGGCUGCAGCGAGCUGCUCAGCUGAAAUGUGCCUGGUACUUCAGUCAACGCACUGCUGAAGCAUUCAGACUUGUAGAAGAAUGAAGCUGGUGCUGAGGCGUGAAGAAAUGAAAGUUAGCAUGCCUCUAUGCUGAUGACUCCUCUGUUUACUGAUCUUAAUGGAUAUAACCACCUAUUUAAUAGAUAUUCCUGAGUUCCUGACUUGUCCUCAUUCACUAGCAUGAGUAGUGAGAUGGUUUGCCAGGAGUUCCUGAAAGUGCUGGCUGUACAAAACAAGCCCUACAUGUCAACACGCAGCCCUUCAUUCCUGUCCUGAUCAAACCUCUGAGUAGAUUCCGAUUCUCCUCUUCAUACAUUCAGUGGUCUCCUCUGAAAAACAAAACAAAGCCUAACCAAACCAGAACAGACCAGUAAUAAAGGCAAAACUCAGUGCUUUAUAGUACAAUAGAGAAAAACUGUGGCCUCGUACAUCAGAGAGCUUUACUAUCUGAACUGCUUUGCAGACCGUGCCAAGUAGUUCAAAGCCUUAGAUAGGGCAUGCAUCUAGAACAAGUACACGAAGGUGGUUGUCUCUCAGCUCUUUGUCCCUUGCAGAAGUACUGAUGCUCUCUGCUACUGUUAAGAUCUAAGGAAGGCGUUGCUUAGGCUGCCUUAAGCCCUCUAUUAGCACUUGGUAUCUGUGCUUCAUUUUUCCAGAUGUGCUCAUUGCUGUAGUUUUGAAAGCUGCUCAAACAUUGGUUAUGAUGCUUUAUGCUCCAGAUUUCUAAGAAAGGACUUCAUCACCUAUGUAGCAGCAGGUGGCAAAAGCUGAAUAUACGUUUUGUUAGCUGUGCCAGCAAGUCAGGCUGUUUGAGGCCUGCAGUUGUAAUGAUUGUGAGCUGCUGUAAGCCAUAUGCUUUAGACAAAUCUAGCCCAGUUUCACACUGGUCUGGGUGCACAGUGGAGGGAAAUAUAUCUUUCUGGGUGUGCUUAUGGAGCACGUAUGUAAGAGCAGCUGGUGGAAGUACGGAUUUCAUGGAGUGCUGUAGGGUGUCAUGGCAGUGCAUAUCUACGGAGCUCUUGGUUUUGCUGCCUACUUGUGCCUUGCAGUGGGUCUGCAGAGCUUCCAGUUGUGGAUGAACAGCAGAAGUACCCACCUAUGGUAUUUGUUUGGAGGAAAUCCCUCAUCCCCUUUGUGCUUUCCUUGCAUGGAAACAAGUAUUUCACAGAAGUCAAAGUGGGAUGCUCACUUGCAUGUGGCUUUUAAAUAUCGGUUGCUUCAAAAUGAGAUGCUUGGUAUUCCUACUUGCUUUGAAGUAAACCUUUCCAUGUAAAUGAGCUCUGAGCUCAGGCUAAUCAUCUCAUGCAGUGUCACAAGGAAAUAGUUGCCAGCAAAACUGUCCUAAAAAAAAAAAACAACCAGCCACAUAUACGCACAAAGCCAGAAAACGGUCCUUGGAAAAGAGCCUUCAUCUUUCAAUAAAGCACACUGUUUGAUUGUACU